rnacentral:rRNA from 1 species
AGUGAACGCUGGCGGUAGGCCUAACACAUGCAAGUCGAACGGCAGCACAGUAAGAGCUUGCUCUUACGGGUGGCGAGUGGCGGACGGGUGAGGAAUACAUCGGAAUCUACUUUUUCGUGGGGGAUAACGUAGGGAAACUUACGCUAAUACCGCAUACGACCUACGGGUGAAAGCAGUGGAUCUUCUGACCUUGCGCGAUUGAAUGAGCCGAUGUCGGAUUAGCUAGUUGGCGGGGUAAAGGCCCACCAAGGCGACGAUCCGUAUCUGGUAUGAGAGGAUGAUCAGCCACACUGGAACUGAGACACGGUCCAGACUCCUACGGGAGGCAGCAGUGGGGAAUAUUGGACAAUGGGCGCAAGCCUGAUCCAGCCAUACCGCGUGGGUGAAGAAGGCCUUCGGGUUGUAAAGCCCUUUUGUUGGGAAAGAAAAGCAGCAGGUUAAUACCCCGCUGUUCUGACGGUACCCAAAGAAUAAGCACCGGCUAACUUCGUG